rnacentral:piRNA from 1 species
AGUCAUAAAAGAUGUUGGCAAGGAAG